UACGAAGGGGGCUAGCGUUGUUCGGAAUCACUGGGCGUAAAGGGCGCGUAGGCGGCCGAUCAAGUCGGGGGUGAAAGCCUGUGGCUCAACCCACAGAAUUGCCUCGAUACUGUUUGGCUUGAGACCGGAAGAGGUAAGUGGAACUGCGAGUGUAGAGGUGAAAUUCGUAGAUAUUCGCAAGAACACCAGUGGCGAAGGCGGCUUACUGGUCCGGUUCUGACGCUGAGGCGCGAAAGCGUGGGGGAGCAAACAGGGAUUAAGAAUCGG
rnacentral:rRNA from 1 species